GACGAACGCUGGCGGCGUGCCUAAUACAUGCAAGUAGAACGCAGUUGCGAACGGGUGAGUAACGCGUAGGUAACCUGCCUCAUAGCGGGGGAUAACUAUUGGAAACGAUAGCUAAUACCGCAUACUGUGAGAUGGACCUGCGUUGUAUUAGCUAGUUGGUGAGGUAAAGGCUCACCAAGGCGCAGAUACAUAGCCGACCUGAGAGGGGGAUCGGACAAAGUAGGAGUGGGAGAAGGCCCAGAACCCUACGGGGGGCAGCAGGAGGGGAGCUUCGGAAAAGGAAGGAAAUGUGACCGAGCAACGCCGCGUGUGGGAAGGAAGGUAUCGGAUCGUAAAGCUAUGUUGUUAGAGAAGCGGUAACUAACCGGAAAGGGACGGCUAACUACGUGCCAGCAGCCGCGGUAAUAC
rnacentral:rRNA from 1 species